rnacentral:rRNA from 1 species
GACGAACGCUGGCGGCGCGCCUAACACAUGCAAGUCGAACGAGCGAGAGAGAGCUUGCUUUCUCAAGCGAGUGGCGAACGGGUGAGUAACGCGUGAGGAACCUGCCUCAAAGAGGGGGACAACCCGGUGAAAGUCGGACUAAUACCCUAUAUGCUCACGAGAGGCGCCUGCCUUGGUGAGGAAAGAUUUAUCACUGACAGAUGGACAUGCGUCCCAUUAGCUGGUUGGUAGGGUAACGGCCUACCAAGGCAACGAUGGGUAGGGGAACUGAGAGGUUUAUCCCCCACAUUGGUACUGAGACACGGACCAA